UAUAAAUGAACUUAUAAACGUACUCAUAAGCCUAAUUAACAAGCCAACUCAUGAAACCAUUAAAUGAACCUGUUCAACAAGCCUUCAAACAAGUCUGAUCACAAAUUUGUUCAAUAAACCUGUUCGCAAGCCUUCAAAUGAGCUACCAAGCGAGCAUAUAAACGAGUCUCACAAAUUUUAACAAACCGAUUAGUUAUUUCUGAUAGUUUAACCUAUUUCUAAUACAUCUUGCAAGGUAUUUUUUUCAUGAAAUUAAUAGAACUUUAUAUUCUCUUGAUAAAUCUACAAGAAAAGUGAUCUAUAUUCAUCUGCCUCUUGAGCCAUCUCCUCUAUACUUCUGUCUUUCCUUUCCUUGUCUAAAUCUAGCUUUUUCUUUAAUUCCUUCUCCCUCUCAUCGAUUGCAUCAUAGAUCUCAUCAUUACUCUCAAAGUCUCCGCCUUUCCUUGGGAGGAUGUGGAUAUGAACAUGGGGCACUGUCUGUCCUGCCUGGGGACCAUCUUGAAUUGUAAAAGUAAGAGAUGUUGCAUGGUGGUGGCUCUCAAGCCGACUGCCAAUUUUCUGUGCCAUAAGCCAUAAAUCACUAGUCUCAUCAACAGUGAGAUCAAUAAAACGCUUCACUUCUCGCCUUGGGCAGACCAGCACAUGUACAUAAAGUCAAGCCAACCAAAUUGAAUGCCAACAAACUGAACACUUAAUCCUGACAAAUUACAUCAAAACCAUUUUCGAUACUAAAAAAAAAAAAGAAAAGAUCAAACCACAUAAAAGUGAAUAUUCUUAAGUGAUCAUUUCACUACACAAGAUCAAUGAUUAUGAUGUUUUGCCAUUAACCUUGUAUAAGUGUUGAAUGCAUAUGCAAGUCAGUAUGCGCCUCUAGUCUUCUUUGCAAUGUAAUUGAUCUAUUUAUAUAAAAGAAUGUUUGCACACCAAAUCAUGUGCUUAAGCAUUGCCACUAGCUUUAGAUGUUAGAUAAACAAACGGUAUUAUUCUGUCUACCCUCUGUUCCAGUGGCUGAGUUCAUUUGCAUGAGAAUGAUAAAAUACGUAGUUAGAAUCAUAAGAUUCUCAAUUCAAAUCUUCUCCACCAUAGCAAUUUGAACCUAAAAGCUGAAUCACAAAAUACCUGAAUUGAGGCCAAAUUAAGUGAUUACAUGAUCAGGCAUAUCAAUUUGAAUUGAUUGAUUCACUCAUUCUUUCCUUCUUGGGAUUGUAGGAACCUAUAGGCCUAAAACUCAAAAUUACAUUCAAUCCUACUCCUUAAACCCUCCUCAAAUAUAUUGAAAAACUAUUAUUUUUCUUUGAAAAAAAAAAAAAUCCAAAUACCUAACAAGGGACCAAAUCCAAACAGCUCUUCAUGUUGUACAUUCUCUACCCUUAAAUCAGUAUUCCCACACUAUUCCAAUAUUUCCCCGACCAAUAACAAACAAUUGAGUUUUAAAAAUGAUGACAUCGUUAUCCCUUUUUUGACCUUUUAUGUUUAGGCAGUAUCAUAAACAUGGACAGCCACCACAUGUCAUGAAAGCUAACACACACUUACGUUGACAAAGUGAUGCAGUAUUGGAUUAAAAUUAAGAUUUAUAGUUAUCAGAGAAUUAGGAAAUUUAAAAUUUUAUUAUUUAUGAAUUUUAUUAUUAUUAGGUUUAGUAUUUUAUUUCAAAGUUUAUCUCAUCAAAGUAUUCCUAAUUAGAAUUGAAUUGGAUUCCUAAAAUCCUAAUGUGAUUAGGUUUGUAACUAUAUAAAUAGGCCUAGCUUUUCUAUUUUAAUUAGCUUGAUUUUCAAGAUUAUUAUUGAGAAUAAAUAAAGUUUAGCUAAGAAUUAGUUUCUCAUUGGUCUAGAGAAAUUGUUUCUCUUUUCCUAGGGAUUUAUUUCCUUUGACCUAUUUGUUCUACAUCAGUUUGGUAUCCAAGCUUGUUCUGCAUCACAAAGUAUAGAGAUCAUAAGUAGAAAAACAAAGAGCAGAGCUUUACAACUUUUUCCACAUAAGGCUACGUGAUAUGAAAUCAAUUUUUAUUUAAGUUAUUUAUGCAUUUACAAUUUAGAAAAACUGAUCAUGGUGGGACUCUAGCCCACAUUUCUUGAUUUACUAGCAAGCACAUAUCCAAGUACCAUAAGCUCACUCUAUAUUAGUCAAAAUAUAUCAUGUUUUUAUGUAUUUUGUUUGUUUAACAUAGAUGUAUAUUGAUUUCAAUUGAUUUUGAGAAUUUGUACAUCUUACAGCUUUUAUUUGAUUCUCGAUUCAUAAAACAAGAAUUUCAAAGCUUGAUUUGAAAACUAUGAUAAAAUCAAAUCCAAUAAUCCAGAGCUCAAAAUCUCCAUAGCCCUGAGUAUAAUUCAUACCUUAAGGAAACUAGAUGAUGAACCUGAAAAAUUAAGCCAGUCUACGGAAAGUGGGAAUUGAUCACUCUUUUUUUACAAUCCCAAGUGAUAAUUUGAACAGGUUCACUUCAUCUGUCAGCAGGAGUUUGGUAAUGUUUUUGAACCCCAAGCAACCUAUAAUGAUGUAAUGUUAUUACAUUUUACACGCACCCUCUCUAUAGUUUUCCUAUUAAUCAAGCACUUUGAACUUGUGCAACAGAAGCAUAAUUUUGCAUGCCUCCAACAAGGGCAUUUACUGCAUAAUUCAAUUGACAACACAUUGCAUCAAUCAAGUGCAACUAUGUCUUAUUAAUUGAAGUGCCAAACAAGAUUACCCCUAACAUAAUUUUACUCAUGAAUGCAAAACUAAUGCAUGUGAGUAUAAACUCCAAUACAUCAUUAUAACUUUUGACUGCCAAAGGAUAUGACCAGGAACAACAGGACGGAGGUUGACCAUGGCAUAGGAGAGCUCAGAAGAGUAAAAUACUUCCUUCGGCUCAAUUUUGUAGGGCCCGAACAUAUAGUGCUCUGUCGACAUCUUGGUGGCGGCGGUGGAGGAGAUGGGUCGGAACCCUCUGGCGGAGCAACGAGAAAGGCAAUAUCUAGCGUGUGCGUGGGUGAGAGG
rnacentral:misc_RNA from 1 species